GAAAAUGCUGUGACAAAGAGGAGUAAAUAGUUAACUCUAAAGAGAGAAAAACCCUUAGGCUGCAAGGUUUUUUAGAGCGAUAAUUAUUGAAGGUAGCUUUGGAGCUUCUGCAUCGAAAUCAUAGUAGGUGCAGACGGUUGAAUACCGUUAUACGAAAGAGAGCGUCUAUUUUCCUAUGGUAAAAUAGAAAUUAAGGUGGUACCGCGAAAGAAAACCUUCGUCCUUAUU
rnacentral:ncRNA from 1 species